GACGAACGCUGGCGGCGUGCUUAACACAUGCCUGUCGAACGGAAAGGCCCUGCUUUUGUGGGGUGCUCGAGUGGCGAACGGGUGAGUAACACGUGAGUAACCUGCCCUUGACUUUGGGAUAACUUCAGGAAACUGGGGCUAAUACCGGAUAGGAGCUCCUGCUGCAUGGUGGGGGUUGGAAAGUUUCGGCGGUUGGGGAUGGACUCGCGGCUUAUCAGCUUGUUGGUGGGGUAGUGGCUUACCAAGGCUUUGACGGGUAGCCGGCCUGAGAGGGUGACCGGCCACAUUGGGACUGAGAUACGGCCCAGACUCCUACGGGAGGCAGCAGUGGGGAAUAUUGCACAAUGGGCGGAAGCCUGAUGCAGCAACGCCGCGUGCGGGAUGACGGCCUUCGGGCUGUAAACCGCUUUCGCCUGUGACGAAGCGUGAGUGACGGUAAUGGGUAAAGAAGCACCGGCUAACUACGUGCCAGCAGCCGCGGUGAUACGUAGGGUGCGAGCGUUGUCCGGAUUUAUUGGGCGUAAAGGGCUCGUAGGUGGUUGAUCGCGUCGGAAGUGUAAUCUUGGGGCUUAACCCUGAGCGUGCUUUCGAUACGGGUUGACUUGAGGAAGGUAGGGGAGAAUGGAAUUCCUGGUGGAGCGGUGGAAUGCGCAGAUAUCAGGAGGAACACCAGUGGCGAAGGCGGUUCUCUGGGCCUUUCCUGACGCUGAGGAGCGAAAGCGUGGGGAGCGAACAGGCUUAGAUACCCUGGUAGUCCACGCUGUAAACGGUGGGUACUAGGUGUGGGGUCCAUUCCACGGGUUCCGUGCCGUAGCUAACGCUUUAAGUACCCCGCCUGGGGAGUACGGCCGCAAGGCUAAAACUCAAAGGAAUUGACGGGGCCCCGCACAAGCGGCGGAGCAUGCGGAUUAAUUCGAUGCAACGCGUAGAACCUUACCUGGGUUUGACAUGGAUCGGGAGUGCUCAGAGAUGGGUGUGCCUCUUUUGGGGUCGGUUCACAGGUGGUGCAUGCCUGUCGUCAGCUCGUGUCGUGAGAUGUUGGGUUAAGUCCCGCAACGAGCGCAACCCUUGUUCACUGUUGCCAGCACGUUAUGGUGGGGACUCAGUGGAGACCGCCGGGGUCAACUCGGAGGAAGGUGGGGAUGACGUCAAGUCAUCAUGCCCCUUAUGUCCAGGGCUUCACGCAUGCUACAAUGGCUGGUACAGAGAGUGGCGAGCCUGUGAGGGUGAGCGAAUCUCGGAAAGCCGGUCUCAGUUCGGAUUGGGGUCUGCAACUCGACCUCAUGAAGUCGGAGUCGCUAGUAAUCGCAGAUCAGCAACGCUGCGGUGAAUAAAUUCCCGGGGCU
rnacentral:rRNA from 1 species